CCUACGGGUGGCAGCAGUGGGGAAUAUUGGACAAUGGGGGGAACCCUGAUCCAGCGACGCCGCGUGAGUGAAGAAGUAUUUCGGUAUGUAAAGCUCUAUCAGCAGGGAAGAAAAUGAAGGUACCUGACUAUGAAGCCCUGGCUAACUACGUGCAAGAAGCCGCGGUAAUACGUAGGGGGCAAGCGUUAUCCGGAUUUACUGGGUGUAAAGGGAGCGUAGAUGGUGCAUCAAGUAUGAUGGGAAAGGUCGGGGCCCAACCGCGGGACUGCAUUUGAAACUGGUGAACUGGAGUACAGGAGAGGUAAGCGGAAUUCCUGGUGUAGCGGUGAAAUGCGUAGAUAGUAGGAGGAACACCAGUGGCGAAGGCGGCUUUCUGGCCUGUAACUGACGUUGAGGUUCGAAAGCGUGGGUAGCAAACAGGAUUAGAUACCCUUGUAGUC
rnacentral:rRNA from 1 species